rnacentral:lncRNA from 1 species
UCAAUGGGGCAAGUCUCUUGCUUUGGCGGUGGUGGUGGGCAUGGCACUGGAGGUGGUGGAGGAGGAGGGCAUGGCGUUUCAGUUGGUGGUGAUGGUGGUUUUACAGGUGGGGUCACUGGAGGCUUUGGUGGUGCUGGGGUUACAGGUGGACUUGGAUAGUAGGGUGGCGUUGGAGUUACCGGAGGCUUUGGUGGUAAAGUUGGUGGUGUUGGGACCACCGGAGGUUUAGGUGGUAAAGUUGGUGGCGUCGGGACCACCGGAGGCUUUGGUGGCAAAGUUGGUGGUGUUGGGGUCACCGGAGGCUUUGGUGGUAAAGUUGGUGGUGAUGGGGUCACCGGAGGCUUUGGUGGUAAAGUUGGUGGUUUCGGUGGGUAAACGAUAGGCG